GGUGGAAUGGGUGAGUGGCUUAAACCACCAGUUUGCUAAACUGACGUACGGAGAAAUUUGUACCGGGGGUUCGAAUCCCUCUUCCACCG
rnacentral:tRNA from 1 species